GAUGAACGCUGGCGGCGUGCCUAAUACAUGCAAGUCGAGCGAACAGACGAGAGUGCUUGCACUCUCUGACGUUAGCGGCGGACGGGUGAGUAACACGUGGGUAACCUACCUAUAAGACUGGGAUAACUUCGGGAAACCGGAGCUAAUACCGGAUAAUAUUUAGCUUCGCAUGAAGCAAUAGUGAAAGACGGUUCUGCUGUCACUUAUAGAUGGACCCGCGGUGUAUUAGCUAGUUGGGGAGGUAACGGCUCACCAAGGCAACGAUACAUAGCCGACCUGAGAGGGUGAUCGGCCACACUGGGACUGAGACACGGCCCAGACUCCUACGGGAGGCAGCAGUAGGGAAUCUUCCGCAAUGGACGAAAGUCUGACGGAGCAAUGCCGCGUGAGUGAAGAAGGUUUUCGGAUCGUAAAACUCUGUUGUAAGGGAAGAACAAGUACGUUAGUAACUGAACGUACCUUGACGGUACCUUACCAGAAAGCCACGGCUAACUACGUG
rnacentral:rRNA from 1 species